rnacentral:rRNA from 1 species
CAGUCGCCGCGGGAAUACGUAGGGUGCAAGCGUUAAUCGGAAUUACUGGGCGUAAAGCGUGCGCAGGCGGUUAUAUAAGACAGAUGUGAAACCCCCGGGCUCAACCUGGGAACUGCAUUUGUGACUGUAUAGCUAGAGUACGGCAGAGGGGGAUGGAAUUCCGCGUGUAGCAGUGAAAUGCGUAGAUAUGCGGAGGAACACCGAUGGCGAAGGCAAUCCCCUGGGCCUGUACUGACGCUCAUGCACGAAAGCGUGGGGAGCAAACAGGAUUAGAUACCCCUGUAGUCCCUGUCUCUUAUAC